GAUCCAAAGAGAUUAGGUAACUUGCCAAAGUCACACAAGAAGAAAGUAAAAGGUUUGAAUCCAGAUCUUUAACUCAAAAGUAUAUACCACUUGCCAGAGGGAGGCUUCUGAAAUACUGCAUUUUAAAUUCUUCAUUAUUUAUUGUUCCUGCUUCAAGUAAUCCAGCCAAGUAUUCCAUUGUUACCGGCUUUCUCAUCUACUCAUCCACUGACGGGCACUCGGGUCUCCAGACCUUAGCUGUUGCACAUAACACUGCUAUGAACAUAUGGAGAGGGGAAAGGAAGGACAAAGAGGGAGAGAAACAUCGAUGUGUGAGAGAUACAUUG